GCCGGGGUGGCGUAAUGGUAGCCGCGCUGGUUUUAGGAACCAGUUCCGUAAGGAGUGGAGGUUCAAGUCCUCUCCCCGGCACAA
rnacentral:tRNA from 2 species